rnacentral:rRNA from 2 species
GGGUUGUGAGGUUAAGCGACUAAGCGUACACGGUGGAUGCCCUGGCAGUCAGAGGCGAUGAAGGACGUGCUAAUCUGCGAAAAGCGUCGGUAAGGUGAUAUGAACCGUUACAGCCGGCGAUGUCCGAAUGGGGAAACCCAGUGCAAUUCGUUGCACUAUCGUUAACUGAAUACAUAGGUUAACGAGGCGAACCGGGGGAACUGAAACAUCUAAGUACCCCGAGGAAAAGAAAUCAACCGAGAUUCCCCCAGUAGCGGCGAGCGAACGGGGAGCAGCCCAGAGUCUGAAUCAGCUU